rnacentral:rRNA from 1 species
CCUACGGGUGGCAGCAGUCGAGAAUCAUUCACAAUGGGGGAAACCCUGAUGGUGCGACGCCGCGUGGGGGAAUGAAGGUCUUCGGAUUGUAAACCCCUGUCAUGUGGGAGCAAAUUAAAAAGAUAGUACCCCAAGAGGAAGAGACGGCUAACUCUGUGCCAGCAGCCGCGGUAAUACAGAGGUCUCAAGCGUUGUUCGGAAUCACUGGGCGUAAAGCGUGCGUAGGCUGUUUCGUAAGUCGUGUGUGAAAGGCGCGGGCUCAACCCGCGGACGGCACAUGAUACUGGGAGACUAGAGUAAUGGAGGGGGAACCGGAAUUCUCGGUGUAGCAGUGAAAUGCGUAGAUAUCGAGAGGAACACUCGUGGCGAAGGCGGGUUCCUGGACAUUAACUGACGCUGAGGCACGAAGGCCAGGGGAGCGAAAGGGAUUAGAUACCCUUGUAGUC